GACGAACGCUGGCGGCGUGCCUAACACAUGCAAGUCGAACGGGGUAAGCUCUUCGGAACUUACUUAGUGGCGAACGGGUGAGUAACGCGUGAGAAACCUGCCUUUCAGUGGGGGACAACAGUUGGAAACGAUUGCUAAUACCGCAUAACGUAUUUAAGGGGCAUCCCUUGAAUACCAAAGAUUUAUUGCUGAAAGAUGGUCUCGCGUCUGAUUAGCUAGUUGGUGGGUAACGGCCCACCAAGACGAUGAUGCGUAGCCGGACUGAGAGGUUGAACGGCCACAUUGGGACUGAGACACGGCCCAGACUCCUACGGGAGGCAGCAGUAGGGAAUCUUCGGCAAUGGGCGAAAGCCUGACCGAGCAACGCCGCGUGAAUGAUGAAGGCCUUCGGGUUGUAAAAUUCUGUUAUAAGGGAAGAACGACUUUAGUAGGAAAUGGCUAGAGUGUGACGGUACCUUAUGAGAAAGCCACGGCUAACUACGUG
rnacentral:rRNA from 1 species